GCCAGCUUAGCUCAGCGGUAGAGCACUCGAUUCGUAAUCGAGCGGUCCCGAGUUCGAUCCUCGGAGCUGGCU
rnacentral:tRNA from 1 species